rnacentral:rRNA from 1 species
AUUGAACGCUGGCGGCAUGCCUUACACAUGCAAGUCGAACGGCAGCACGGGAGCUUGCUCCUGGUGGCGAGUGGCGAACGGGUGAGUAAUACAUCGGAACGUACCCUGAAGUGGGGGAUAACGUAGCGAAAGUUACGCUAAUACCGCAUAUUCUGUGAGCAGGAAAGAGGGGGGAUCGCAAGACCUCUUGCUUUAGGAGCGGCCGAUGUCGGAUUAGCUAGUUGGUGAGGUAAAGGCUCACCAAGGCGACGAUCCGUAGCGGGUCUGAGAGGAUGAUCCGCCACACUGGGACUGAGACACGGCCCAGACUCCUACGGGAGGCAGCAGUGGGGAAUUUUGGACAAUGGGCGCAAGCCUGAUCCAGCCAUGCCGCGUGAGUGAAGAAGGCCUUCGGGUUGU